rnacentral:rRNA from 1 species
UACGUAGGGUGCGAGCGUUGUCCGGAAUUAUUGGGCGUAAAGAGCUCGUAGGCGGUGUGUCACGUCGGCCGUGAAAACCUGCAGCUUAACUGUGGGCGUGCGGUCGAUACGGGCAUCACUGGAGUUCGGCAGGGGAGACUGGAAUUCCUGGUGUAGCGGUGAAAUGCGCAGAUAUCAGGAGGAACACCGGGUGGCGAAGGCGGGGUCUCUGGGCCGUAACUGACGCUGAGGAGCGAAAGCGUGGGGAGCAAACAGG